rnacentral:rRNA from 1 species
CUGGAACGCGCCCCAGGCGCACCCAGAAACCCUUUGUGAACUUAUACCUUACUGUUGCCUCGGCGCUAGCUGGUCCUCCGGGGCCCCUCACCCCCGGGUGUUGAGACAGCCCGCCGGCGGCCAACCCAACUCUUGUUUUUACACUGAAACUCUGAGCACAAAACAUAAAUGAAUCAAAACUUUCAACAACGGAUCUCUUGGUUCUGGCAUCGAUGAAGAACGCAGCGAAAUGCGAUAAGUAAUGUGAAUUGCAGAAUUCAGUGAAUCAUCGAAUCUUUGAACGCACAUUGCGCCCUCUGGUAUUCCGGAGGGCAUGCCUGUUCGAGCGUCAUUUCAACCCUCAAGCCUGGCUUGGUGAUGGGGCACUGCUUUUACACAAAAGCAGGCCCUGAAAUUCAGUGGCGAGCUCGCCAGGACCCCGAGCGCAGUAGUUAAACCCUCGCUCUGGAAGGCCCUGGCGGUGCCCUGCCGUUAAACCCCCAACUUCUGAAAAU